rnacentral:rRNA from 1 species
GACGAACGCUGGCGGCGUGCUUAACACAUGCAAGUCGAGCGGUAAGGCCCUUUCGGGGGUACGACGAGCGGCGAACGGGUGAGUAACACGUGGGUGACCUGCCCUCAGCUCUGGGAUAAGCCCGGGAAACUGGGUCUAAUACCGGAUAUGACUCCAUGACGCAUGUUGUGGGGUGGAAAGCCUUGUGCGGCUGAGGAUGGGCCCGCGGCCUAUCAGCUUGUUGGUGGGGUGAUGGCCACCAAGGCGACGACGGGUAGCCGGCCUGAGAGGGCGACCGGCCACACUGGGACUGAGAUACGGCCCAGACUCCUACGGGAGGCAGCAGUGGGGAAUCUUGCGCAAUGGGCGAAAGCCUGACGCAGCGACGCCGCGUGAGGGAUGACGGCCUCG